rnacentral:rRNA from 1 species
CGUAACAAGGUCUCCGUUGGUGAACCAGCGGAGGGAUCAUUACAGAGUUGCAAAACUCCCACAAACCAUCGCGAAUCUUACCCGUACGGUUGCCUCGGCGCUGGCGGUCCUUCGGGACCCUCGGGCCUCCCGCUCGCGGGGGGCUGCCCGCCGGAGUGCCGAAACCAAACUCUUGAUAUUUUAUGUCUCUCUGAGUAAACUUUUAAAUAAGUCAAAACUUUCAACAACGGAUCUCUUGGUUCUGGCAUCGAUGAAGAACGCAGCGAAAUGCGAUAAGUAAUGUGAAUUGCAGAAUUCAGUGAAUCAUCGAAUCUUUGAACGCACAUUGCGCUCGCCAGUAUUCUGGCGAGCAUGCCUGUUCGAGCGUCAUUUCAACCAUCAAGCUCUGCUUGCGUUGGGGAUCCGCGGCUGCCCGCGGUCCCUCAAAAACAGUGGCGGGCUCGCUAGUCACACCGAGCGUAGUAACUCUACAUCGCUAUGGUCGUGCGGCGGGUUCUUGCCGUAAAACCCCCCAAUUUCUAAGGUUGACCUCGGAUCAGGUAGGAAUACCCGCUGAACUUAAGCAUAUCAAUA